GUAGAAUAUUACUGUGCUAUAAGAAACCACAAAUGUGAAAAAUUCCAAGUAUGUGAAGAUAAGAAGUGAUGUGGAAUGACAUGGAGAACCAAGAAAAUAGUGUAAACAAUAAAUGAAAGGAGCAAAGAAUGAAACAGAAAGUUAUAAGUAUAAUGACUAAGCUUGGCUUGGAGAAGAGUAGAGAAAAUGAGCUUCUCUCCCUUUGCAGAGGAGAUUGAUUUCUGGGAAGAAGAGAAGAAAGAGGCAUAUUUGAAAAUGAAGGAAGGGGAAGAAAGGAAAGAAUCUGGUACUCAGAAUGUGAGAAAACAAAUUGUGAAUGACUUAACUAUCAUCAACGAGGUAAGGAUCCAGCCAACUCCAAGGGACUUAUGAUGGAAAAGGAUAUCCACCACCACACAACAAACGGAGUCCAAAUGCAGAUUGAAAUAUAUGAUGCUUCACUUUAUUUCCUCUGUGAAUUUUUCUCUAGUGUAAACAAUAUGUUUUGUUUCACAACAUGACAAAUAGGGAAAUAUGUUUUAGCUGAUAAUAUAUAUAUAUAUAUAUAUAUAUAUAUAUACAAUCUAUAACAUAUUUCCUACCUUCUUGGGAGUAUGCGUAAGAGGGAAGGAAAAAGAAGAAUAAAACAUAGAUUUUUGGACA
rnacentral:lncRNA from 1 species